rnacentral:rRNA from 1 species
UGGGGAAUUUUCCGCAAUGGGCGAAAGCCUGACGCAGCCAACCCGCGUGUGUGAUGAAGGCCCUAGGGUUGUAAAGCACUGUCGUGAGGGAAGAAGUUCUGACGGUACCUCACAAGAAAGCACCGGCUAACUCCGUGCCAGCAGCCGCGGUAAGACGGAGGGUGCAAGCGUUGCUCGGAAUCACUGGGCGUAAAGGGUCCGCAGGCGGCGAGAUAAGUCGGAUGUGAAAGCCCGGGGCUCAACCCCGGAACUGCAUUCGAAACUGUCUCACUUGAAUACGGGAGAGGAGAGUGGAAUUCCUGGUGUAGAGGUGAAAUUCGUAGAUAUCAGGAGGAACACCAGUGGCGAAAGCGGCUCUCUGGCCCGAUAUUGACGCUCAUGGACGAAAGCGUGGGUAGCAAACAGG